AAAUUACUUAAUGAAUUUUAUUACAUUUAUAGGUGUACAACAAUCAUCACAACCAAAUUUUACAGCAUUUCCAUCCCAAACCCUCAGUUCAUCCCCCCAUCCCCCAACCUGUCUCAUUCAUUUGGAAACCAUAAGUUUUUCAGUCUGUGAGUCAGUAUCUGUUCUGCAAAGAAGUUCAUUAUGUCCUUUUUUUAGAUUCCACAUGUAAGUGAUAGCAUUUGAUGUUGGUGUCUCAUUGUCUGACUGACUUCACUUAGCAUGAUAAUUUCUAGGUCCAUCCAUGUUGCUGCAAAUGCCGUUAUUUCUUUCCUUUUAAUGGCUGAGUAAUAUUCCAUUGUGUAUAUGUACCACGUCUUCUUAAACCACUCCUCUGUCAAUAGAUAUUUAGGUUGUUUCCAGGUCUUGGCUGGAAGUUCAAUUUUUUAAAAUUAAUUUGAGCAACUGGAGAGAUGAAAAAUAAACAUAAAAUUAAUGGAUGUUCCUCCUAACUAUUUAUCUAGCUCUGCCCUCUAGUUGUUGCAAUGCUUGUCACAUUAAAAAAGGGAAACCUGGAAUUCCUGUCAUGGCUCAGCAGUAAUGAACCUGACUAAUAUCUAUUAGGACUUGGGGCUGAUUCCUGGCCUUGCUUGUGAGUUAAGGAUCUGGCAUUGCUGUGAGCUGUGGUGUAGGUCACAGAUGCAGCUCUGAUUCGAUCUCUAGCCAGGAAACAUCCAUAUGCUGCAAGUGCAGCCCUAAAAAGCCAAAAAAAAAAGACCCUGCCAUAUGCCAUAGAUGUGGCCCUAAAAAGACAAAAAUCCCCCCCAAAAAAUAGGAAACAUGGGGAGUUCCUGUUGUGGCUCAGCGGUAUUGAAACCGACUAGUAUCCUUGAGGACAUGGGUUUGACACUUGGCCUUGCCCAGUAAGUUAAGGAUCCAGCGUUGCUAAGAACUGUCCUGUAAGUUGCAGAUGGGGCUUGGAUCCUGUGUUGCUGUGGCUGUGGUGCAGGCUGGCGGCUGCAACUCUGAUUCAACCCCUAGCUUGGGAACUUCCAUAUGCUGUGGGUGCGGCCCAAAAAUACCAAAAAAAAGGGGGGGGGGACUCGUAGGACAAGUAGGAACAAAAGAAACCAUUGAAGAAACCAUUAAAUUAAAUUAAAUUAAAAAAAAAAAAAAAAAAAGGAAACCUGGCCGUUGUUUCCCAAGAGCUCAUGGUGUUUAUUUAAGCCACGGAGGAGCACAGAAGAGUCUUAGCUGAGGAGGCGGCUCUACGGCUCACAGGCCCCACGAGCCCUGUGGUCUUGGGACAGACCGACUCCUGCGUGAGGACAGCUGUACUGCAUCCAGGGCUGCUGUGAGGAGGGAUGCGCGAGGGAGUGGCUGACAUUUGCGAGGAAGUCAGUGACUUUCUCAGGUGACACACAAAGCCUCUGCCUUCAGAGCAUGGAAAGGAGGUGGCAGUGAAGAGACUGGGCAGUAGAUUUUCCCCACUGUGAGUCAGUGGAAAAGAAAGCUGAAUGGACAGAGGAGGGCCCCAGCCAUCGAGAACUGUCUGGACAGUGUCCAACUUCGGGGAUCCUUCAGGAGAGUCAUGGUCUAGCAGGUUAGUCUGGGUGCCUGUGGAGCCUGGCUGGAAGUGGGGUGAUGAUGCUAGAUGAUGGGGAAUGGGGGUGAGUGGCGGGACUUAGGGAUGAGGAAGUGGGGGAGGAGCGGGAGUGAGACAGGGGCCACAGGAGUCGAAAGGAAAUCGGGUUUCCACCUGUUCUUUGCCAACGCUCGCCGCACCUCCACAUUUAUCUCCGCUUUUGCCUUUCUCCUCUUGGCUCUUCUGUCUCCCCACCGCACCCCCACAUCAGCCCUAUGUCCUUCUACCCCCCAGGUCCCUGGGUAAAGGAGGCUCAGCCCUCUUCAGCAUGAUGCAGAUGUGCCUAGCAGGUGCACCCUGGGUGAACUUGAUCUGGCUGGUUCUGGCAGGGUCAUAUGCUUGAGAGGCAGGCUGCUCUUUCUUUAGUGUGUGAGUGAGAAAAGCUACUGCUGGUUAGACCUCACAGGAAGCUGGAGCCAAGGGGUAGCACAUGACCUCAGGUGUAGCACAGCCAGUUGGGUGAGAAGAAGAGGUGACACCUCUGGGCUGCUGAGACCGCUUGCUCCUUGUACUCCAGGCCAAGGAAAUCAGGUCACCCUGCCCCCCUCCCUCUGCUGGAUGCUGAGGGACUGACUGCUGCCUAUGGGGAGGUAAAGAAAUAUUCAAGGACAAGCCGGCCAAGGCAAGACACCUGGGCGAGGGUCUCAAACUGGAGGCCCCUAGGACCGUUCCCCGGCAGAUAGGUUUUCUUGGGCCCACACUGGCCCUCUCACUCCCUGUUAUACCUUUCCCCUGUCUACCUCAUGUGUUUGCCCUCUUGGUGUCACCCCUGAGCUCAUGAAUUCACCAACUCCAUUCUAAGCAGGGCAUGAAAUGCAAAGAUGCUCCAAGGCUUCUGACUUCACUGGGGAAACGCACAGGCCAAGAGGGCUGAGCGUGCCAGACCCAGCGUGGGGUGGGGGGGAGACAUGCCAUUUUGGAGUUUGUUUUUUUGUUGUUGCUGUUUUUGUUUUUGACUUUUUAGGGCCAAACUCAAUGCAUAUGGAGGUUCCCAAGCUAAGGGUCGAAUCAGAGUGCGGUCCUAAAAAAAAGGAAAAACAAAACAAACAAAUAAAACCAAUGACAUGCAAAGGUAUCUAAGACAAUGUUAAGUGAAAAGAACAAGUUGUAUAACUGUGCAUCGUAGGAUAUCAUUUGAUCAAAAAAGGAAAAAAACGUAUUUAUUUAUUAAUUUAUGGUUGUACCC
rnacentral:lncRNA from 1 species